AUACGGAGGGUGCAAGCGUUAAUCGGAAUUACUGGGCGUAAAGCGCACGCAGGCGGUUCGUUAAGUCAGAUGUGAAAACCCCGGGCUCAACCUGGGAACUGCAUCUGAUACUGGCAAGCUUGAGUCUCGUAGAGGGGGGUAGAAUUUCAGGUGGAGCGGGGACAUGCGUAGAGAUCUGGAGGAAUACCGGUGGCGAAGGCGGCCCCCUGGACGAAGACUGACGCUCAGGUGCGAAAGCGUGGGGAGCAAACAGGAUUAGAUACCCUGGUAGUCCACGCCGUAAACGAUGUCGACUUGGAGGUUGUGCCCUUGAGGCGUGGCUUCCGGAGCUAACGCGUUAAGUCGACCGCCUGGGGAGUACGGCCGCAAGGUUAAAACUCAAAUGAAUUGGCGGGG
rnacentral:rRNA from 1 species